rnacentral:rRNA from 1 species
UACGUAGGGUGCGAGCGUUGUCCGGAAUUAUUGGGCGUAAAGGGCUCGUAGGCGGUCUGUCGCGUCGGGAGUGAAAACUCAGGGCUUAACCCUGAGCCUGCUUCCGAUACGGGCAGACUAGAGGUAUGCAGGGGAGAACGGAAUUCCUGGUGUAGCGGUGAAAUGCGCAGAUAUCAGGAGGAACACCGGUGGCGAAGGCGGGUCUCUGGGCCGUAACUGACGCUGAGGAGCGAAAGCAUGGGGAGCGAACAGG